CCUACGGGAGGCAGCAGUGGGGAAUAUUGCGCAAUGGGCGAAAGCCUGACGCAGCGACGCCGCGUGAGGGAUGAAGGUCUUCGGAUCGUAAAGUUCUUUUCUAAGGGAAGAAGAAAGUGACGGUACCUUAGGAAUAAGCCUCGGCUAACUACGUGCCAGCAGCCGCGGUAAUACGUAGGAGGCAAGCGUUAUCCGGAAUGACUGGGCGUAAAGGGUGCGUAGGUGGUUUGACAAGUUAGUAGCGCAACUCCGGAGCUCAACUUCGGAACUACUACUAAAACUGUUGGAUUUGAGUGCAGGAGGGGCAAUCGGAAUUCCUAGUGGAGCGGUGGAAUGCGUAGAUAUUAGGAGGAACACCAGUGGCGAAGGCGGAUUGCUAGACUGUAACUGACACUGAGGCACGAAAGCGUGGGGAGCAAACAGGAUUAGAUACCCUUGUAGUC
rnacentral:rRNA from 1 species